UACGGGGGGGGCAAGCGUUGUUCGGAAUUACUGGGCGUAAAGGGCUCGUAGGCGGCCAACUAAGUCAGACGUGAAAUCCCUCGGCUUAACCGGGGAACUGCGGCUGAUACUGGAUGGCUUGAGUUUGGGAGAGGGAUGCGGAAUUCCAGGUGUAGCGGUGAAAUGCGUAGAUAUCUGGAGGAACACCGGUGGCGGAGGCGGCAUCCUGGACCAACACUGACGCUCAUGCGCGAAAGCGUGGGGAGCAAACAGG
rnacentral:rRNA from 1 species